rnacentral:rRNA from 1 species
UACGAAGGGGGCUAGCGUUGCUCGGAAUCACUGGGCGUAAAGCGCACGUAGGCGGAUCUUUAAGUCAGGGGUGAAAUCCCGGAGCUCAACUCCGGAACUGCCCUUGAAACUGCAGUGCUAGAAUCCUGGAGAGGCGAGUGGAAUUCCGAGUGUAGAGGUGAAAUUCGUAGAUAUUCGGAAGAACACCAGUGGCGAAGGCGACUCGCUGGACAGGUAUUGACGCUGAGGUGCGAAAGCGUGGGGAGCAAACAGG